rnacentral:rRNA from 2 species
AGCAGCCGCGGUAAUUCCAGCUCCAAUAGCGUAUAUUAAAGUUGUUGCAGUUAAAAAGCUCGUAGUUGAAUUUCGGGAUUAGUACGUUGGUCGUGCCUUCGGUACGUACUGGUGUUACUGAUUCCUACCUUCUGACGAACCAUCAUGUCAUUAAUUUGGUGUGGCGGGGAAUCAGGACUGUUACUUUGAAAAAAUUAGAGUGUUUAAAGCAGGCUCGCGCUUGAAUACAUUAGCAUGGAAUAAUGAAAUAGGACGUUGACCCUAUUUUGUUGGUUUCUAGGAUUGACGUAAUGAUUAAUAGGGAUAGUUGGGGGCAUUAGUAUUCAAUUGUCAGAGGUGAAAUUCUUGGAUUUAUUGAAGACUAACUACUGCGAAAGCAUUUGCCAAGGAUGUUUUCAUUAAUCAAGAACGAAAGUUAGGGGAUCGAAGACGAUCAGAUACCGUCGUAGUCUUAACCAUAAACUAUGCCGACUAGGGAUCGGAUGAUGUUAUUUUUUAAUGACUCA